GAUGAAGAACGUAGCGAAAUGCGAUACGUAAUGUGAAUUGCAGAAUUCAGUGAAUCAUCGAGUCUUUGAACGCACAUUGCGCCCCCUGGUAUUCCGGGGGGCAUGCCUGCCCGAGCGUCAUUGCUGCCCUCAAGCACGGCUUGUGUGUUGGGCCUCCGUCCUCCUCCCGGGGGACGGGCCCGAAAGGCAGCGGCGGCACCGCGUCCGGUCCUCGAGCGUAUGGGGCUUCGUCACCCGCUCUUGUAGGCCCGGCCGGCGCUUGCCGACACAUCAAUCUUUUUUCCAGGUUGACCUCGGAUCAGGUAGGGAUACCCGCUGAACUUAAGCAUAUCAAUAAGCGGAGGA
rnacentral:misc_RNA from 1 species